rnacentral:lncRNA from 1 species
ACACAUCUCUCCCUCUGAAUUCGCAAGCAAUGCCAAACUUCUUUAGUGCUGUCGCAUUCUUGCACAAACAUUUGAUCAAUGGAUGUACACACUUAUUUUCACUUGGUUUUCCAUAAAAGUUAAUGAACUUGAAGGUCUUUAGAUGUGGCAAUGAACAGUUAAAACUAUGUGUUUCAAAUCUCCUCCGUCGUUCAUCCUCAUUUGUGUACUUUGACAGCAAUUUCUGCAGGAAAAAAUCCGAUAUAUUAACCAGUUAUUCUCACCUAAGUAGAAAGCAAAGGAGUUGAUUGCAGACAUAUUAAAAAGGUGAUAAAUUUUGCCAAAUCCCCUUUUUGGAAGAGGAUAAGCUGUCAAAAGCCCCUCUUUGUAACCUUUUAUCAUUGUCUAUGAAACAUAACAGUUUAAUGAUUUUUUUUUCCCUGAAGCACUAAACAUAUAUCAUCUUUCACUAAUAGUUUUAUAUAAAUUACAUUAAGUAACAAAAAUAAAGGUCUAAAAGAAACUUACUCUUGGUUUAGGAUGGCGCCAGUCAAUGACCAAUGUCUCAAGACCUGAUGAACUCGAUAGAAAGCUGCAAAUUCCAGGAUAGUCGUACUGUUCUAAGGCUGAGUUAAGUUUUAAGAAUCUCCAGCUUGAUAGUGGAACAGGCCACCCUUUAAACUCCAGUAUGGACAGGCACUUAUGAACCAAAUAGAUAAACCAAAAUACAUCAAAAACUAGGAAAUGCAACAUACUUAGUAAAUGACAUGAAAAUUGUUCAAUAAUUCGAAAAAACAACUUCAACUAUAGGACUGUUUUGCCAUAAGGCACAAGCCACAUCAAAGUAUUCAAGGUUGGCUUGGAAAUCUACGGAUUGAUUUUUAAACACUUGGAGAAAACCCACAGAGGUAAGGGUAAGGUUUGCAUACGCCACAGCCCCUCCCUAGACCACAAGUAGAGGGAUUACACUAAGUAUGUUAAUGUUUGGAAAAACACAUUCGCAUGACUUUGUUUGAUAAAAGUGGUGUUCGGGCCAGCUUGCGUGCACCUCAAUUAAUUCCACAGGAGACUUGCAAAUUGCCACUUCCUACCCACAACACGUACUAGGUAACUUUGUCAACCAAGGCUACAACAGAGGAGAAGAAUCACUUAAUGUUUUUCUCUCUUGAGAACUGAACGUCACAGUGCUCAACCGACUUCAUUGACCACUAGGCCACACCCAUCACAUGACUUAAUAAGUAUGAUCACUGCAAACCAAUCCAAAUUUUAAAUGUUAUCUAUCCUAUAGUAAACUCUUUAUUCUCACAAUUUCCGUCAUAAAUAGAGUAAUUUUUUUGUUCAAUAGGCCAUGAGGAUGUUAUUCUUUAGUACUUACAAACAUAGUUAUAAUAUUAUCCUAAGUAGUGAUAUUGUUAAUGUUACUAAACUGAUGAAUUCAAUAGCAAAGAACAAGUCUGCGAAAUGAAAAAACAAAAUCUACCCUCCUUCUCCAAAUCCUCUUCAAGGUCGAUGUAAAAACAAAACAUACCUCGAUGCACCAGGGACCCAAUUCAAGAUUCUUGACAUUGGCAACGUGGUGAAGAAGUUCCUGCAAAUAUCUACACUCUUUCUCCAAAUUCUCUUCAAGGUCGACGAAAUGAACAUUUAAAGAAAGGACUGCAGUGACAAGUGAAGCCACAUCUCUCAGCUGAAAGUGUAUCUCAUCGCAACACAAUCCCCGAAGUUCUAAAUGUCGAAUAUGUGGGGCAUGAAUUUCGAGGCAAUAGUCUUGAUCAUCAACACCACAUUCUCUAUCAUAAAUCGUUACAAUCAAUUUUCUCAGCUUCACAGAGCUGAUUUCCAGACGAUGAAUACCAAUAACUUUAUCUAACUCCAAGCACUCCAAAUUAGGACAACCUGAUAAUAUUUUUUCCAUUACACCCUCUGUCAUACCCGCAUCCGCAAUCGAAAGAGAAACCAAAUUACUCCAUUUCACAUUACCAGAAGGUCUCAACCGGCAACAUCCUAACACCAAAUUCCUCAAAACCGUAUUCGUAUACGCGAAUUCAGGAAAUUUAUACGCAAAAUCUACAGACUCAAAAAUAUAAAAUUUCAACGUAAACUCUUCAACCUUACCAAUAUUAACAGCAAAGUGCACCCACAAAUCAACAUCAUGUUCAAUAAACUCGUAACUAUGAGGAAAAACCCUAAAUGAUUUAAUUUUCUCGCAAGACCUCCAAUAAUGAAGCUCUCUAUUAACAGAAGCUGCGUAAGCGAUAAUAUUUUCUUCUUCGUCAGAGUUAAGAUCAUCUUCUGAGUUGAAAUAGAGAGAUGCCGGAACGGAUUUCCAAAGAAAUCGCCAUUGCGAUGAUAAUACGCUGGUUCGAACAACUUGUUUACUGUUUGGUAACAUAGAGAGGAUGUGGAGUAGAAUUUCCUCCGGCAGAUCAGUCAGCCGGUCUCUUCCUCCGGCCGCCGCCAUGAUUUUCUUGUGCCUUUAUGAAUUCUCAAUUGUAGUUUUGUAAUGGCGAAUUGAAAUGAGAGUAAUGGCGGUUUAUCCAACUACGAUUUCUGUGCACAAAACUAUGUAAAAAAUAGGAUUGAAACGAGAGAGAAAAAAAUUAAAAAGAGAAGAAAAAUGUCCUAAAUAAGAAGCAAACUGUGGUGUUCCGGUUAGCUUUUAGGCAUCUUUAACUAAAUUCGUGGAAUACAUGUAGCCUUUACUAGCAAUUCUAGAAUAGAUGGAAAGAAUUAUCUAAUGUUUUUUGUCUUUCGUGAUUCAUUCGUAAAUUAAUUUUGAUUCUCUAUUAACUUUUUUUCUAUUUUAGCCUACCUUUCUUUUUAUCAUUUUCGAAAAAGUUGAUAAACUUGGCAAGUAUGCAAAAAAUAUUCCCCCUUAUCACAACAAGGCUCGAAGAAAAGAAUUAACCAUGGUCUUAUUUACCAAGCUCGGGACUAGAGGAGCAUUUUAGGAAUUUGAGGUAUUGGAUGUAAUGUAAUAAGGAUGAAGUCUUAUUUAUAUAGUAAUGUCCCGAAGUUUUGAAUAUGAAACAUUAGGGUUUUCAACCACUUCAUUGCGGUUGAUUGGUAUAAUUAAGUGAAAAGAGACAAAUAUAAUCCUCAAUUUUGCAAUUAAGAGCAUAUCUCUCGUUAUAAAAAUUAUUCAAAUAACGAGUUUAUUUGAAUAACGUGACGAAUAAAAAUUGACCUACUUUGAUUGACAUGAACAAUAUUCAAUCAAUCAUUAUAAGCCGUAUCAAAAGCAUCAUGAUUUGAUAAAAUUUGAAUCAUUUUCUAAUUCAAAAUUUAAAUCCUUGGCCUGACUCAAACUUAUUCAACAAUAUAGGAACUCAAUUGUCUCAAAAUAAAGGUCUAUUUUUCUCUUUUUUUAAUCUUUUCCUCCCCUUCCUCCAUUAAAUCGGGCACACAAUUUCAAUUGGACCAACCACACAAGCACUUUAGCCCUCAUAGUAUACCAGUUAUCACAAUAUAGUAAUCAACAGUUAGCCCAUGUCUUAAUUCUAUAACAUCUUGACAAUGCAUGAUUUUCUUCAAGUGGCAGGUCCUCAAUUUUCCUAAAAAUAAAAUAACACAUGUCGAAAGAAGCAAGCCCAUUGAGUCGUAAUGAAUCAAGAAAUACAAUUUCUGCAAAAUGACAUUCAACCUUAGAUCAAGCUUUCUUACAUGAUUAUCAAAGGAAAAAUACAUUGUGCUUAGACAUGAAAAAUCUGCAAUCAACUAUUUUGUAUUGGAUACUGAUAACUAGAAUCCAAACCUCGACUAUCAACUGUAAACCAGUUUCAAACCAAAAGUAAAAGGUUGUUAUGUAUGUCGCCAUCACAACAAAAGAGAAUGGCGUAAGAUUAUCAACAAGGAAAGACAACUGAAGCUUGCGAACAGGAUCUUGGAAAAGCUUAGGACCUCCUGACGACAUAAUUCCAAAACACAUCUCUCCUUCUGAAAUUGCAAGCAAUGACAGUCUUCUUUAGUGCUGUCGCAUUCUUGCACAAACAUUUGAUCAAUGGGUGUACAAACUUUUUUUCACUUGGUUUUCCAUAAAAGUUAAUGAACUUGAAGAACUUUAGAUGUGGCAAUGAACAGUUAGAACUAUGUGUUUCAAAUCUCCUCCGUCGUUCAUCCUCAUUUGUGUACAUUGACAGCAAUUU